rnacentral:misc_RNA from 1 species
GUAGGUGAACCUGCGGAAGGAUCAUUACAGAGAACCGGGUACCGGGCCCCCGGGCCCGCCCGACCUCCCACCCCUGUGAACAUACACCGUUGCUUCGACGGGCCCGCGCGGGCCCCGGCCGGCGAGCGCCCGUCAGAGGCCCCCCCAAACCCUCUUCAGCCGUGACGUCUGAGUACCACACAACAGUUAAAACUUUCAACAACGGAUCUCUUGGUUCUG